rnacentral:rRNA from 1 species
UACGGAGGGGGCUAGCGUUGUUCGGAAUUACUGGGCGUAAAGCGCUCGUAGGCGGCUUUGCAAGUUAGAGGUGAAAGCCCGGGGCUCAACUCCGGAAUUGCCUUUAAGACUGCAUCGCUAGAAUUGUGGAGAGGUAAGUGGAAUUCCGAGUGUAGAGGUGAAAUUCGUAGAUAUUCGGAAGAACACCAGUGGCGAAGGCGACUUACUGGACACAUAUUGACGCUGAGGUGCGAAAGCGUGGGGAGCAAACAGG